rnacentral:misc_RNA from 1 species
UCCGGCUUAACGCCGGCAGUCUCGCUAGAGUUCCCGGCAUGACCCGCUGGCAACUAGCGAUAAGGGUUUCGCUCGUUAAGGGACUUAACCCGACACUUCACAGCACGAGCUGACGACAGCCAUGCAGCACCUGUGCACGUUUCACCCGAAGGCAGCCUACUCGACUUUCGCCAAGAGCAUCCGUGCAUGUCAAACCUAGGUAAGGUUCUUCGCGUUGCUUCGAAUUAAUCCACAUGCUCCACCGCUUGUGUGAGCCCCCGUCAAUUCCUUUGAGUUUUAGCCUUGCGGCCGUACUCCCCAGGCGGCGCACUUAACGCUUUUGUUUCGACACGAACAACGUCAGAGUCACUCGUAUCUAGUGCGCAUCGUUUACGGCGUGGACUAC